UAAUUCACACACUCCAAUAGGCAGGUAUAUAAAUUCCAACACUAUUUGUAAGCCUUAUCCUGACAGGACCUCAAAAACGAACAUUCAUAUCCACACUCAAAUACUCAGGUAAAUGAAUUUGAACCAUAAACCUAAGCCUGACCCUAACCAUCAUGUUCAAAAUCCAUAUCCCAAACCCUAACCCUAACCCUAACCCUAACACAAACCAUGAUUUCCACAUUCCAACAGGUAGGUAUGUGAAUGCCAACACUAUUCAAAGCCCUUACAAUAACAGGAA